rnacentral:tRNA from 1 species
AAGACAUUAGUAAAAUGCAAAUUACACCACCUUGUCAAGGUGAAAUCGCAGGUUAAACUCCUGCAUGUCUUA